rnacentral:rRNA from 1 species
UAACACGUAGAGAACCUACCUUACACAGGGGGACAACAGUUGGAAACGACUGCUAAUACCGCAUAACACAUAGGUGUCGCAUGGCAUUUAUGCCAAAGAUUUAUCGCUGAAAGAUGGCCUCGCGUCUGAUUAGCUAGUUGGUGAGGUAACGGCUCACCAAGGCGACGAUCAGUAGCCGGACUGAGAGGUUGGCCGGCCACAUUGGGACUGAGAUACGGCCCAGACUCCUACGGGAGGCAGCAG